UUAGACGAAGAAUUUUAGUAGAGUAAAAGUUUUGUUUAGUUAACAUUCGAUCUCGUAAAAGAUGGUGAAAUUUUGUUGAUAAGGUGAAAUUUUUAAUUUAAGGGAAAUUCUUAAGAAAUCUGUUGAGACUAAAAAAUUUAGGUAAAAAACCAGGAUUAGAUACCCUGUUAUUCUAAAUAAUAGUGUAAAUAGGGUAGUAAAAGUUGUUCUUCAAACCCAAAGAUUUUGGCGGCAUCUUAUCCUAAUAGAGGAGCUUGUCCUAUAAUUGAUAGUCCCCAUUUUAUCUUACCCUUUUUUGUUAAGCUUGUAUACCGCCGUUGUCAGAUUACUUUAAAAGAACGUUUUCAGGAAAAAUAUUUUUCUUACUUCAGGUCAAGGUGCAGUUUAUAAAAGGGCAGUGAUGAGCUACAAUUUUUAAUAGAAAUACGGAUUUUAGGCUUAAAACUCAGGUGAAGGUGGAUUUAUUAGUAAAUUUACUUAAGUACAGUAAGUUGAAUAAGGCAAUAGGAUGUGCACAUAUCGCCCGUCACUCUCUUCUCAAGAGGAGAUAAGUCGUAACAAA
rnacentral:rRNA from 1 species